UGGGGAAUUUUGGACAAUGGGGGCAACCCUGAUCCAGCCAUCCCGCGUGUGCGAUGAAGGCCUUCGGGUUGUAAAGCACUUUUGGCAGGGAAGAAACAGCCUGGGCUAAUAUCCCGGGCGACUGACGGUACCUGCAGAAUAAGCACUGGCUAACUACGUGCCAGCAGCCGCGGUAAUACGUAGGGUGCAAGCGUUAAUCGGAAUUACUGGGCGUAAAGCGUGCGCAGGCGGUUCGGAAAGAAAGGUGUGAAAUCCCAGGGCUUAACCUUGGAACUGCACUUUUAACUACCGGGCUAGAGUACGUCAGAGGGGGGUAGAAUUCCACGUGUAGCAGUGAAAUGCGUAGAGAUGUGGAGGAAUACCGAUGGCGAAGGCAGCCCCCUGGGAUGAUACUGACGCUCAUGCACGAAAGCGUGGGGAGCAAACA
rnacentral:rRNA from 1 species